CAUUCUAAUACUUUCUAAUAUCGUGUUAUAAUGAGUGAAAAAAAUGUUUUUGCACUCUUUUGUAUAUAGAUAUAUAUGGUCUCGAACUAUAGAGGGAAUACGCGAAUACCAUAUGAAUCUGGCUGGGAGCCGGAAGGCAAAAGGUCAAAUUAUAGAAGACUGAAGAAGUAUACAAUAUGAUUUUUUGAGGUUAUAUUAGUGUGCAAAUGAUUUUAACAUUAAAAUUAUGUGUUAUUACUAUUGUAAUAAUAAAGUAAUUGAAUGAAAA